rnacentral:rRNA from 1 species
GUGUCAGCAGCCGCGGUAAGACGAACUGUCCUAACGUUGUUCGGAAUCACUGGGCUUAAAGGGCGCGUAGGCGGUCCAUCAAGUCAGGGGUGAAAUCCUGCAGCUUAACUGUAGAAGUGCCUCUGAUACUGAUGGUCUGGAGGGAAAUAGGGGUGUGCGGAACUUCCAGUGGAGCGGUGAAAUGCGUUGAUAUUGGAAGGAACGCCGGAGGCGAAAGCGGCGCACUGGAUUUCUUCUGACGCUGAGGCGCGAAAGCCAGGGGAGCAAACGGGAUUAGAAACCCGGGUAGUCC